UUGAGAAUACCUGGCGUAGCCUACUUAUACCAUGCAUAUACUUGCAUGCACUUACAUGCACCCACGAGAUUCAUUACGUGUUUCAGUGUUUCGAAAGCCGAAUCAGCGAAUUGUUUCAUUGUUCGCCUCUUACACACAAGAGAUGCCAGUGCUUCCGUCGAUCGCCAGUCCUGAGUUCUAUUUUGCCCACUGUAGAGUGACGGCGUUACAGUGUUUGGACAGCCACUCGCACCACAUCUUUUGUCACCUCUGCCUUAUAACAGUGCCAUAUCAUUAAUAGCGUGCAUUGGAGCCACUUGCCUGGGAUAUAAUUGUAAUGAAUUGGUGUGCAUUAUAAUACUACACCGUGAAUUACCAUGGAUUGCUGCGGGUUUCUGAGUGCGUGUCGUCAUGUGUCACCACUACCGCUACUCACUCAACCUUGAUCGUUCGUGUUAUCAUUAAAAGAGGUGCUGUGAUGGAGGCUCGUGGCAGAUGACAGGGUGCAGGGCAUGGUGGCACGAGUAGAGGUGAUCUCUCGGCAUGCUCAGUGCUGCAUGGCUUGUCACCCCUGCCAUGGUGGAGGUGGUGCUCCAAUACCUCUACGAAUAAGUGCAGGGCAAGGGUUCACUGCCGGAGGAUGCACACAGAUGAACAAGACGACACCCCAAGGAGAUCAUGAAAAGUCACUGUUUGAGGAACAGUUUAGUUUUCCACAUUGAAAGGUGGACAUCCGGAACAGAUUGGCAGUGACCAGGCAGCCAGAAGGAAGAAGAGGCAGUAGAUGAUCCAUUCAUGUUUCUCCUCACUCUUUCUCUCUCAGCAUUGAAUAUUGAUGCCUUCUGGUAGUGUUGUCUUUGCGAGAUAAGUAUGAGGACUGUACUCUGAAACAUACCUGAACUCUACCUCCACUAUUUUAAAAGGCUAUUGAUGAAGCUACAUGGGUUUCUAAGGGUGUUCAUGUGGUUCUACAUAUUUUAAAGAAAUAAUGUUGAUAACCUGCCAAAUUAUCUCCAUGGUCUAUUUCAAAAGGUUAUAGUUGAAGCUAUAUGGGUUUUUAAGCAUGUUUACAUGACCUUAGGUACAGAUUAACAAGAUUUUUAGAGUUUUGAAAAGAGUGUUAAUUACAAAGCAAAUCAUCUCUAUGGCCUUUGAAAAUGGUCAUGGUGAGAGAGCAAAGUUCACACAGAAAUAAGUAUGGCAGGUUACUUGGCUUAUGUAAUUGUACUUGACCUUCCUUCACAUUUCAACAGUCAUACCAUUCUCACUUUGGGAGACUUGUAAUGUUAGAAAAAAAGUAAUUUUUCUUUGACUUGAAAAAAUCUGAGGAUUUGCUUUCAUUAAUCUAGUCAUGAAUAUUUGGUUAACUCCUUCAGUACCAUGAUGUUUCCAUAUUCAUUCUGUUUACUAUUUGACCAUUUUAUACAGCUUUAGAAACUUGUGUGGGAGACUGAAAUAAUGAAGACUGUGGUCAUUAAUCUUCUGACCUCCUUAGAGUCUUCCUAAUGUCAAUAAAAUGGCCUUAUCGUACACAAAUAUCAAGAAUGGAGCUGAGCUAAUCAUCAUUCAUUUCAUGAAGAGGGCAAUUUUGGUACUUGGCACAGCAAACAGCAAGGUGAAGGUGAAAAGUACCUAGCACAACUGGACAGGAAAAUCUCAAUGGUUAUGACUCUAAAAGGAUAAGAAAACUUCAGUUCAAACUACAGCUUGAUUUGGUAACCCCCUUUAUAAUAUUUAGAAGCCACGUCCAGAUGAUCUGGUGUGUCAGUCCAGCAGCGCUGUUGCUGGCAAAUUCUGCCAGGCCUGUCCGUGAAUGGUGUCCAAAUGGUGUCCACAACAGAGUUGAUGAAUAGCCCCAGUGUUUGAUGCCAGUAGCUUGUGAAUGAUAGUCUUACUGCAUUCCAAAUUCUAAUUGCUAUGGAAAAAUACCCCAAGAACCUGUCUGGCAUUUAAGAGUAGUCAUGAUGAGAAAACUAUAGAAUGUUGGACAACUUAGUCUGUGCUGGUACGGUAUCACGUUGCUCCUCCUUGGAAUCGAUCUGGUAGUCAUCCUCCAUGCUCAAGAUAACGUUGGCUGCCUCAUCCUCAUUCACUGCUUGUAACCUGCGAAGAUGUAAGGCGGAUAAGCCAAGCACACAUUAAUAUUCAGUCCUAAUUCCUUUAAUACAAAACUGAAGUACUAACCAUCAAAUAUUUCUAUAUUGAAGACAAUGAACUAAACUUGUGUGCCAGUAUUCAGAAGCACAUUCUCUGCAUUUUAUAGCCAUAUAAAUUAGUGCUGUUCUAAGAAUGACAGUUAAUGCAAAUAUCUUGCCUAACAAUGACCCAUCUCUUAAUGCAUAUUUUUGGUCCAUCUUUUGAACAAUAAUAACACCUUCAAAAGCCAUGUGAUGUACUGAAGAGAUUUUAGUCUUCAAAAGCUAUGUGAUAUACUGAAGAGAUUUGUUCUUUAAGUCAUGAAAAUGUAGCCAGAAGCAUCUUAUAUGGUCUAUAGUAGGCAAUAAAGUAUAUGUGCAAC